UUUACUGCUCCAGUUUUUUAAAACCUUCUCCUUUCCAUUGAGCGAAAAGUAAGUUCUAUAUAAACGCAGUCAAUUUCUGGAAAAAGCAUCAGAUUCAGUUCGCUUCUCUCCAACUCAAAGCUAUCUUUCUAUCGUCAAAGCAAUGAAGUUCAUCGUUGUCCUCACUUUUUUGGCACUUUUCGUGGGCAUUGAAUGUCAAAUGUUCAUGACUCCUAAUUUCAUGUUUCCCUUUGCAACUUACACCGGGGCAGGAGGGCAAGGUCUUUCCAUGGCGGAUCAAUGAUGAUGGCUCCAAUGAUGAUGAAAGGGAUGGAAGCGAAAUAUAUGGCAAAAACGCCAGGAGUUGAACAUGUUGCUCCUAUGCCAGGACAUUUGAAGUCAGCUGUUGCCAUGAAUAUGGACCCAGCACCCGGAACUAUGUAAAUCUUGAAUUCGGAAUGGAAAUGGAAUUAGGAAUAGACACCUGGCAUAUGAUACAAUAUUUAUAAAAUAAAGUCUAGCUAUUACCGGCAAU